rnacentral:lncRNA from 1 species
UAUUCGAUCGUAUUCGUAUUCGUAUAGCAUCAUAUAUAAAGAAUUUUAUUUUAAAAAAUAUAUUUUGCUUGCCACACAUACAUGCAAGGCUUUUGCAACUCAUAACUUUUUACAUGUAAUUGUGACGAUUCGCCCCUCCCACUCUUUAUCUCCCCAUACCCGAUACAUUUCAUGGCUCGUUAGCCACGACCUCCCACUUCAUCCUCCUAAAGUUACUGGAUCGGGACUCUUGAGAUCUUCCAGUACUGUUGCUUAAUAGACCACAACACUUCCUUCCUGUUCCUUUCUCUCUCUCUCUCUUGCACCAUCACUACUAGUGGUGGUGCGACUAAGUUCCCCCGAGUAUAUAAGUCCGACGCCUGCCUGUUCCCGGUAGAGUCUACACCGGCAACUGUAACCCAAAACACGAGGUAAAAUACAAGCUUACAAAGUCAUUCUUAGUAUUAUAUACUUAUUGUGAGGAUCAUCACAAUUUUCCUAAUGAAGCAUAACAUCUUCAAACAGGCAACGCCCGUUACAUUUGUCUUACUACUUGUAAAAUAUUGUAAAAUAUGGAUUAAGCUACUGAUUUCAUUCGUUUGCCACAACGCGAUGAAUACAAUGGUAUCAGUGAAACUUUCCAAUUUUCCGUAUACCAUAGGUCUGGUUGACGGCACAUAAUAAGAAUAGUGCAACCACUGAAACCUUUUGCAGCCAAUACAUGUCGCAAUAAGUUUUGCGCUGUCAACCUUCAAGCAACCUGCACCAAAAGCCUCAAGUUCACUUCCGUAAGCAGUGGCUGGUCAGGGUCAAUGAAUGAUGCACGUGUCUUUGAAAACAGCGAGAGGACAAACCCUACAUGAAAAACUGGCGGGCACUGAUUACCACAUAAUUGAUGAUCUUGCCUAUUCCCUGUCUGAACGUUUAUUAAAAUCAUAUCGAAGAGUAGGUGCAAUUGAGGUAUGUAUGAUAAACCAAAAAAAAAUAAUGUUAUUGAUGGCACCAACUUUGGCAUACGUAAUGAAAACACUGUUUCAUUUUCCGAUAAGAACAAAAACUAUUCAACCGUAUCCUGAACUGUGAAAGAUCUUCCAUUGAGCGAGCAUUUGCUCGCUGAAAAUGAAAAUUUUGACGGUUAAAAUAUCUUUACAUGAGGCACUUAGAUUGGAUUGAUUGGAUUUAGCUUAGAUUGGCCAUUCCUUUAGAUCUUCUAGAUAUGUUCAACAGGAAUUUAAAAAAAAUUAAAGUCAAAUAAGUUAUUAACUUACCAACAGUAUCGGGUUUAGUGGCCUAAAGGUGAAGAAAACCAGUUUCUUGGACCUAUGCAUGAACCUGGAGCAAAGGGGAUAUGUAAGAUGGACUUUAUCAGCCAGUACCUUUAAGAAUAACUGUGAAAUAUAAACAGCCUUGAAAGCACUUCUUAAUUAACAGUAGCUUGUAUGAGAAACUUAUUCUUGACAACUAAUUGGCAUACUCCAAAUACUGAAUGUAAAAAAACAUAUGAGCAGUAUUGAAGUAAGCUCUGCUUGUUAUUAAAUAACAAAAUAAGCUACCAUGAUCCACCAACUGUUGACUUCAACAUUAUCUUACGGUACUAUUCAGUUUGUAUAAAUACUGCUUUCGAACUUCAAUUAUUUCGUGGGUGGAUAUUAAGAAUUGGUUACUUCACGUAGUCCAGCAAGAGCACUAGUAUUAUGGGAAAAUACAUUUUUAAAAAUCCA